rnacentral:rRNA from 1 species
CGCGUAGGAAUCUGCCUAGUAGUGGGGACGAACCUGUGGAAACGACAGGCGUAAUAACCCGCAUAAGCCCUCGAGGGGGAAAGGGAAGGGGAGUCUUCGGACCUUUCGUCUAUUAGAUGAGCCUGCGUGAGAUUAGCUAGUUGGUGAGGUAAAGGCUCACCAAGGCGACGAUCUCUAGCUGGUCUGAGAGGAUGAUCAGCCACACUGGGACUGAGACACGGCCCAGACUCCUACGGGAGGCAGCAGUGGGGAAGUAUUGGACAAUGGGCGCAAGCCUGAUCCAGCCAUACCGCGUGUGUG